GCCAGAGUAGACCACAAAUAAUACAAAGAGAAACUCAAUGACUUUCCAACUCAGGCAAAAAAUCCAUUAACACAUAAUCGAUUUUGUCGCUCCUCUCUCUCUCUCUCACCAAACACUGCUAAGUUAUCUUUCUCAGGUACUAACACCGUUAAAAUCCCCGUCACUUUCCCGCUUUCUGUUAUUUUUCCUUUACUCUUCAAUUCUUCACUUCCACCAUAAAAUAUCUCCGUCUCACUCCGUUACACUUCGUUUCUUUUACUUUUCUAUUUACCUCAAAUUUCUUGCUUAUUGAACUUUUCUUGACUCUAAUUUCAAGGGUUUUACUGUUAGAGAGUGUAUAUGCAGAGACCAACUACUACCGACGGAGCUAGUAUGGGGAAAAGGGCCCUUGAGGGUGGUGGAGAUGAUGAUCAGCCUGAACGAAAGAGGCCUGCUCUUGCUAGGCACUAAUUCAUUUGCAGCUCUUUAUUCAAUUAUAUGAUUCUAUGAAUUUACUUUGUUUAAUUAACCUUUUUAUUCUAGUUAGUAUUUUAUUUUCAAUUUUAUCACUACUCCCUCUGUUCCAAAAUAUAAGCAAAUUUGACUUUCUAAGUUCAUUCAAUUAAUGAUGUAUGUGGUUCAUAUUAUGGACCACAUACAUCAUUAAUUGAAUGAGCCUAAAAAGUAAAAUUUGCUUAUAUUUAGAAACGGAGGGAGUAUGUUACACUAGCUAGUAACUCUCAGAAAAUUAGUCUGGAAGACCUAGCUCAGCUGACAACAAUACUGAGAUUGUUAGGCGAAAAGAAUGUCAUUGUUAUUGCAAUUAAUCGAUCUGUUUACUUCCAAAGAUGUUUUGCCGUGUUCGUUUUAUCUUUAUUUGUAGUCUUUAAUGACUAAUCAGUUCGAUUACCAUGGUCAAACCUUUUGUUGUCAGUUGUCAUUUUUAAUAAUACU
rnacentral:lncRNA from 1 species